ensembl:rRNA 5S_rRNA 5S ribosomal RNA
GUCUACUGCCAUGCUUCUCUGAACAAGCCUGAUCCCGUCUGAUCUCGGAAGCUAAGCAGAGUCGGGCCUGGUUAGUAUUGGGAUGGGAGACCACCUAGGAGGACCAGCUGCUGUAGGCA